GUCAGUUGGAAGUUGGCUCUUUUAGACUCUGAUGUCACUGGGAUUUAUUGAGAGUUCACGAUCAAAACAGUUAUUCACAACAAACACGACUUCAUUAUAGAAAGGACGAAGGAAAACAGGGCUUCACAUAAAAGUUAAACGUAAUAGGCAGAGAAACCCAGAAUGAUCUGAAUGGAAAUGACGGAAAUCCAAUAUGCGAAAUACAUGGUCAGAGAAGACUCCUUCAUCGUCAACGUGUCGCUGUUAUAGUACUGGGUUAAUCACCACACUCAUUGAAGACGUUUUCUCAAGAUGUUUUCCUUCACUGUAUAUCAGUGGUGCCUAAAUAAACUUGGAUAGUACUUACACAACA